UUUUUUUUAUGUUUGCUCUAAUAAAAACCUAUGUGAUUUUUUCAAAAUAUUUUGUAGAAAUUAAACAUUCUUGAAUACAAUUUUGAUUUGCACCUGAGUCUAUCAAUGCUUUCAAAGUAAUUUUAAAAUUUUAUAUUUUUAAAAUAAUUAAAAAAUACUAUUUUUGAAAACUUAUUCUUGAAAUUAAAUUAAUUUUAGCAUUUAGAUUACUUAAAAAAUCUUUUCCUUAGGUCUAAAUCAUCUAAAUUAUCAUUUUGCUUUAUUUGAGAAAUUUCUUUUUUAAUUUAUAAAAUUUCAUAUUUAUUUUGAGAAAUUUUUCUUUCUAGACAAUUGAUUUCAAAAUUCAAUAGAAAUUGGUGUUUAUAUUUUUGGAGUUUGUAAAACUUUUUAAAGACUUUUUUCAAAAAUCAUUUUCUUCUUUAGAGAUGGUUUCCAAAAUAUUUCUUUUUAAAUCUUCAUUUGAAACAUGGUUAAUUGUUUGAAAUAAUAAAUUAUGUUUGAAAGUUAAAACAUUUAUUUAAAUUAAAAUAUAUUUAUAUGGUUCUUGACUUGAAAUUUUUGAAUUGGUUUGAUCUGUAAUUUCCUACAAUUGAAAGUUAGAAAUAUAAGAUAAAUCUUAAUAAUAUUUUUCUUCAUUUUUUUUUCAUGAAUCUCUCUUUGUGGACACUUAUUGGCAUAAUGUCCUUCUUUUCUUUAUUUCUAACAAAAAAAAAAAAAAAAACAAAUUGUUUGAUUUUCCUCUUUUUUGAACUUUUUUGGGUUGAUUUUCUGCAGGUUUUUUGUAAUUUGAAUAUUUGUGAUAUUUCUUUUGGGGGUAAGACUUGUUAUACCUUGGGAAUUUUCCAUAAUAUGUGAGUUUCAUAUUAUAGUUUUUUGGUCGAAUUUUUCUUGAAGAAGAAGCUGGUUCUUUGACCUUCUCAAAUUCGAGAACAAAAUGUCUUUAUUUAUUUUUUAUGAAGAUUUGAAUGUUUGUGUACUUUGGUUUGAAUUUUUAUCUCAUCGUAUAUAUCUAAACCACAUUCUAUGAUUCUAGAAGUUAGUUGGACAUAGGUAAGAGUUUCCCAAGGUAUUUCCUUAGGAUAUGCUUUGUUGAGGGAGUUUUAGACUCUUUCUGCCAUGAAGCUUGAAAGUCUAUCAAUGGACAUUUCUUUCAAGUGUCUGACAUUACAAUCCUUAAAAAUAUAUAAAUUUUAAAUAAGAACAUGUUUUUGUACCAUCUAAAUUUUUUCAAAGAGGAACAGUGUCCUCUCACUCUUCUUUUAUUUCUUGAGUUACUAAAGCUCCAUCUUUAGUCUUAAUUGUCCUUUUGAUUCUUGUCCUAUGAUUUUUAAUUGCUACUUUUUGUUUAUUGAUUAGGGCAUGAUCCCACCAUAGUUUGAAAGUUCCACUAAAUCCAUUGAUUAGAAGCAUAGGAGCCUCUCCAUUUGUAUGAGCAUUGGAUUCAUAGGUUAUGGAACAAGUUAACAUGUUAUUCAAUGUGUCAUAAAUUUGAUACUCUAGAGUUCCAUCAAUAUUCCAAAGAUAUAUGGAUUCUCCAUUGAAUUCUGUAUUUAUGACAUACAUUUGUCUUGCUCUAGUUCUUCUCCGGGAAAUGAAGGUCAAGGAUGAAAAUUUAUUUUAUCUUUCCUAUUAACAAAUCUUCCAAAAUUUAUCUUGUUGAUUUGUUUUUCUUCUUCGUUGAAUGAAAGAUUUUCAAAAUCUUCCAUGAAAACUUUCGCCCCUUAGGUUGUUUAGGUUUUUAUUAAUAUCAUCCGGAAGGUUUUGUUUAUGAGUUUUUAUCUUAACAUUAUCUAAAGGUUGGAAAAGGUUAGAAGUUUCUUCGAGAGUAGAAGAAUUGAAAUUUUCUUCUAACUUGAAGACGUGACUACGAUUGAAGAAAUCAUUAUGUUAGAAUAAUUAUUUUAAACUUGGAUACUCUUUAUUUCUUUAUUUGUAGGAGUCUUGUGUUCAAAUUCAUUGAUAAUUUGAAAAGGAUUUGCUAUAACAUUCUUAUUAGAAAAACUUUUGAACUCAACAUCUUCCAUCGGAGGGAAAUCAUCUUUGAUUUCUCCUCUUUGAGUUUUCCAAUAUUCAUUUUCUUUUAUUCUACAAAGAUGGUCAAAAUCUUUUCUUUGGUUGAACCAUUUAAAAAAUGUAAUAUGUUCUUGAAGUAUUUCAAAAGCCUUGAAACUUCUCUAAACAACUUCUGUUCUGUUUCAAAGUAAGUUUCGGAAAAGGAAAUUCUUUCAAUAAAAUUUGCUUUAGACAUAAAUUCCUUUUGUAAGGAUUCUUUGUCAAGCUCAAAUUUUGAUUCUAAAAUAAUUACAUUUACUUGAGAACUAGUAUCCAUUUCUGUUUGAGUUAGAGAACCAGGGAGAUUUUCUUCAUAAAUGUUAUUUGGUAUUCUUGAUCUAAUCUAACAUAUUAAUUUUACUUUCGAGAACUUGAUCUGUUUGAUUAGAUAUUGGUUCACUCUUAAUACUACAUGUACUGGGCCUUGAACUCAUAUUUUCUUUAACAACAAGGAAGCUAGGUGAUUCGUUUUCAAACUUAAUUUCUACUUUCCCAUCAAGAUGUUCAAACACGCCACCAAGGAGCCUCCAGAUCGUUAACCCUACCGUUUCUUCGUCAACAACCUGAUCUAAAACGAAAGAGAGAAGGAAAACAAAAGAGAGAGAGAGGGAGUUUAACAAUGUUGGAAAAAGGAGAGAGGGAGAGUUGAAUAGUACAAGAGGAGGAGUUGAACAGUAUGAAAGAGAAGUUAGAUAACCCUAAUCACCAAUUGUGUUCAUCUGUGAACCAAACGUGGAGUGCACUCUACCUUACUCUAAUAUCAUCCACUCCAAACAUGCCCUUAAAGUUUGGGAUAGAAAAAAGUUCGGAAAGUUGUGUAUAAACCUAAUUUUGUUUAAUUACGAUCAUCGGAGUUUUAAUUUGUAAAGUUGAUUAGUUUGAGGUUAGAUGGAGACAAAUGAAAUUAUUAGUUUAUUACCCAUUGUAGAAAAAUGAGAAGUAUUUGUGUUUGUAAAAUGGGAUUUAAGUUAAGGGUAGAGUCCGUUAUGGCAAAUUUGUAAUUAUUUACAUCUUCUUCCUUAGGUUCUUAAAAUUAGACAAAACAAAAGGGAAGAAAAAUGUGAGGCAGCCGACAGUCACAAAAGAGAGGGAAAAAACUGAGAGAGUGAAGCAGUGGCGACUUUGAGGCAGUGGUGUUUUGGUUUUAGUUCAACGUCGGGGUCCGUUGGAGUCGUAUUUCGCCAGAUUUGGGUCUUUGUCUAAGUGGUUUCGGCGUGGGUCUCUCAUAUGCUCUUGGAGUUUGGUGGACAGUAUAGUCGUUUUGUCGUGGUUGAUUACAAAUUGCUUGUUGUGUUGAACUCUAUAAUUGUAUCCUAUUUUGCUCUUAAUAAAAUCUCUCCAAGCUGGUUCUCAAAAUGAAUGUAGAUCGAAUUGGUGGUUUAUUCUUUUAUCGCCUUGUGUGUAUUCUGAAUUGUGAUUUCUAUUUUAGACCGUCGUCUAUUUAGCGCGGAAAGUAUGAGACCCAUAAUAAAGUUGGAAAAGAAUGGAGUGAUGAAAAGUCUGGUAGUCACAAAUUUGAAUAAAAUGAGGGAAGUUGCAUCAAAGUGGCCCAGUGUGUAUCUCCACCCACCGCUCCCAUCAGCCUCAAAAGUCAAAAGAAUUCCAAAAGUUGUGAGACCCAUUAGUGUCCCCAUUUGAUGAAUAAAUAUCUACAUUCUCACUUACCUCCAAAUUGUCCAAAUCAAAGUUCUUAUAAAAAGAAAUGCAGCUUCUGAGAAACAACCUAUGAAUUUUAUUCAUUAAAUCCCUGAUGAUUUUCGAUUUCUUCUUUCUAGAAAGGUUUAAUUUUCAAAGCUACAUUUCUCUACCUCUCUUACUCGUUGAAUUUAAACUUAAAUAAAUUUCUCAAAUUAGCAAUCAAAUUAUAAAGCUAAUUAAAAGUUGAAUAUAUAAAUGGAUAAAUUCAAAAAAUGGCACGUGUUUUUUUGUCUUUCAUUUUAAUCUUUGUAAAAUUUUUAAACGAAAAGUAUAAUUUAAAAAUAUUAUUAAUUAUAUUACCUCUCAUCAAUUAAGCACCGAAGUUCUUUAAGCAUAAAAUUAUUGAAUUUUGACUGUUAAUUUUAGUUUAUAUUAAUUGAAUGCAGAAUAUUUUCAAUUAAUGUUCUCCUUCAUUUUAGAAGGCUUUGUUAUUUUCUUCUAUAUUUCUAGCUAUCAAGUAUAGUCUUUUCAACAUUGUUUUAGCAUGAACAUUCUCAUAAUAGGUGACAGGUGCACUAGGGUUAGCAUGUACAUAUUAAAUUGUUGUAUUGUUGUCCAUUUUUUUAUUUUGCCAAAUAGUUAAAAAACGACAUUUUGGAUCCGUGUAGAUAAAUAUUUUUUAUUACACCAACAAAUAAAUAAAAUUAAUAUUCUUUUAUAAACUAUAAUAUUUUUCUUUUACAUAUGUAUAUAUACAAAAUGAAAUCGUGAAACAACAGUACAGGAAACAAGAUCCUAAUACAAGACUUAAAUAAGAAAUUUUAAAUGCCUCUACAGUCUUCAACCUUCAACGAUCGCUUGACUAUCUAUACAAUCGUUUCGCUUUCAACCCAAUAUGACUUCAAUCAUUUUACAAACAAUAUCUAAAUCAACCAUUUAAUCUUUAGAAUUCUAACGGUGCAUCUUUGAGAAAAAUGGCUCUAAAAACUAUCAUAUAAUUUGAGUAAAAAAUAAAAAUGUUUGAAACUAAAUCGAUUAGUCAAGUAUAUGUAACAAAAGGUUGCAAGUAUUGGUAAAAUUAAAUGUAAAAUUAAAACAAAACAAAUUGACACAUUGUAUGGAAUAAGCAUAUUGAUGAUGAUAAAAUUAAGUACUGGGAAUUCUAGAGUGUUGAAACGAGGAAAUAAACGUAUACUUAGAGAUGGAACUUGGAGGAGGGAGUUGGACAUGGAACUUUGUUUCUUAUCAAUAAAAACAUGCUUUGAUAAAAACGUUUCUAAACUCAUGUUUUACAAUGCUUUUAACACUUUUUAUAAACAUGUUGUUAAAUAGAAAUAAGGCUCACUUUAAAUAAUAACUUGUAAAACAUAUUAAAAUUGUUAUUUAGAAAUCAUUUUACAAAUAAUCUUAGUAAAUUCAUUUUUCACUCAUAGACUGCAUAUCAAACCCUUGAUCGAUAAGCUUAGCCGAUUUCUUCUUGUUCUGAAAGAAUGGAAAACAACUUCAAUUAAUUCUCUUUUAUUUUAAAAUUUUCAAAACAUUACUUAGAGUUUCCCAAAUCAUCAUAAACAGCCCCAAAAUGCCUCAAAAAACCUCUCUGAAUCCAAAACGCAUGCCCAACAUGUCAUGCUAAUUUCUUAGUCUAAAACCUCAUUCUCUGCUAGAACUCUACUUCUUAUUUAGAGCUUAAUAGCUUAAAAUCCAGAAAUCAAAUAAAAAUACUUUCUUCUACAAAUGGGUUGCAAAACAUCUUAUUAUUCUUACCUUAAAAGUUUAGCUUCAGAUUCCAACAGAUGAACUCUACAACCCUUUGUAAGUCCACGUUAUUCAGAAUCACCCAUAGUCUAACCUUUCUUGCUUUCCAUAGCUAAAACUCAGCCCUCCCUUACUCAAUUUAAACGAGCAGCCCUAGCUUAGAAAUUAGACUCAAAAUGGAAACUUUUAGGAGUAAUUUCAUUCACAAAUGCAAGAGUGUAUUAUGAGAAAAAUGAAUCUAAAGAAACCUAAUUAUAGAGUCCAUUGCAUGAAUUUACAUUGACACCUCAUCCUUGCUUAAAUCUACCUUAAAUCAUAUUAAGACACCUCCUACUCACUUUUACACCUCAAAACACGCGCUAACAAGACUUUGACACUUCACUUAAUUUUUAAACUAAUUGUCUUAACCAUGUCACAUAGUUGUCUAAAACGCAUAGCUAACUUCCAAGGUCAUCUCGCCUACUUUCUCGUUCAGACUACAUAACGCGAAUUUAAAAAGUUAUAACUUAAAAUUUAUAACUUUUUUUAUCCUUCUACAAAGGUUCUCCAAAAUGAGUUAAAUUUCUGACAACAAAAUGUCAGAGCAAAACGCCAAAUUAUGCGUUCUAUAACCUUCUGGGAGUACAUCUUACUCAGAUUUACUCAUGAACUUACCUUCUUGCCUUCUCUUAUCCAAAAUGCCAACUUUUUCAUAUCUAAAAUGUCCAGCAGCCUUGCUCGAUAAAAUAAACUCAAUUUCUAAACUUUUAAAACUAAUUUGAAUGCAAAUGCCCAAGUGAGUUGCUAAUCACUAACAGUACUUAAAUGUAGAUUCCAUUGAAUGUAUGCAGCAAACAAAUGACAACUUAGGUUCUUACAGAUAGUGUGACAAAAUUGUCAUCAUUUUUCUACGAUUAGUAGCUAUUCUUUCCCCCACUUGUAAUGGAUUUAAAAGGAAUUAUUGGAAGAGAGCAAGGAGAGGUGCACUCCUAUGCCCUUUUUGGGCUUUCACUUGUUUCGUUCGCUUGUACUUUCUUCUAUUUUUGCCCUUUUAUUAUUUUAUAUUUUUCCUCAAAUGUGUUUGUCAAUCUUUGAAUUCAAUAUUAUUGCAUGCUUCUGGUUUUUUUCUAGUUUUUAAGUAGCAUAUAAGAUUUUGUCAAUGUUUGGGUAUAAUAGUCUAGUUUUUUAUAGUGAUUUCUUUCCCUCAAUGUUUGAAUUCAAAUGUGCCUUGUGUUGGGUAUAAUAACCUUGCAAGGGAAGGUGAAAACUAGUACGAAUUUAUCUUGGAACUAGAAUGCAGAGCUAAGUUCUCUUGAACGACGAAAGAUGGGAGAAAGUUAGGUUGUUUGAAUGUCUAGCUAGGUUAUUGAUCUCUUAUAUGCCAUUACAACUUCAAGUAUUCUUCUUAAGUCGUAUCAUGAGUUGCUGGUUCUUAUGCCUAUGUUGGGAACAAUAUUCAUCAUUUUCUUUCAUUAAUUAGAUUGCAGAACUUUUCGGAGACUUUGAUUCAAAAGUUUGAAUGGCACGGCUAAAAACUAUGUUUUGAGUCUGCGUUGUGGCCAUGGUCUAAAAGGGAGAGAAAAAGUUUAUGAACACUGCCCACAAAAACAAUCCAUUGUUUCUCGAAAAUGCACCUCCGUCGUCCUCGUGGCCUGCCUGUCUCUUUUGAUGCCGCUUACUCCUUCAUCCUGCCACCGGUAAUUACUCCUCUUCUUCUCCUCAUGUAAAGUAUAUAUAAUAUAUCAGUAAUUAAACGUUCUUACAUCGUAUGGACUUUCUAAUCUCUGUUGUGAAUUGGGUUGAGGUUAUUUUUUUAGUUUGAUUUUACUGUGUUUAUGGUGCAGCUGAAAGAGUGGAGGGUUUUGAUUUGUAUUAAUCCGUUCUUACAUUGAGUGGUGUUGGUGAGGCCGACAAUGGGGAAGACUGAUUUGAUUAAUGAUUUAUAUGUCUUUUAAAUUUGCUUUUAUCUUAGUUUCAAUUAUGUUUGAAGAAAGAAAAAUGUGUGUGUGUUGCCAAUUACUUUUCAUCUUUCUUCACUUAUUUGUUUUUUCUCUCAUUAGUUACUUAGAAAAAGUAGAAGUGUUGCUUCUAAUUUCUUGUUCUAGUAUACUAUAAAAAGUUGCAAAUUUCUCCAUCUCAUUCUCUGUCUUUCCAUCACAUUUUUCUAAUUCCCCAACUGGGUUCUUUUCAACUAUCAAUACUAUGACUCUUUUAAUUCUCAGGACCUGCUCUUUGAUCUUCCUUCCUGGAAUCAAAUUUUUCUUGGUUUUUCUUUUCCCCUCCAAAUCAACUUCAAUUGGGUAUUUUUCAUUCAUUGAAGUUUCCUGGUUAUCUCAAAUUCAUGUCUUUUUUAAACUUAUGCAAAAUUGGAAAGUUUUGGUUUCACGUUUAGAUAUAUAUAUAUAUAUAUAUACACAUGUUGGGAGGAAUCAAUAUGAAAUUCAACAUUUGGGUUAUUUGCUUUUGGAUAGAUUGAAAGAAUGGUGUGGUGUAGCUUGUUUAGUUCAAUGAAAAGAUUAUUAAGAACUUGUUCAAUCAUGCUGAUUUUUUUGUUGUUGUUCAAUUAAUUUAAUACUAUGAGGCUUUCUUUUACUUUUUAGCUACUUUAUGCUUAAAGUUAAUUUAAAAUACUCUCUAGAUAUGCUUCAUGUUUUGUUGACUAUGUUGAAAAGCUAACAAUUUAAAACUUCUAAAAACUAUCUAUCUUGAGUUUAGACAUGUUUCAUCUUUAUUCAUAUUGAUAAUUCAUAUAAUCAAGCUUUGUGAUAUUAUUAAUUAUUCUUGUUGUACGCUUAUUAGUAGUUGUUUGAAUUAAAGUAUAGUAUUGAAGUCUUCAAAAUUUAUGUUUUAGGACCUUAAUAAAAAAAUUAAAUAAAUAAAAUGAUCAUGAUAUAUUACUACAUUUUCAGGGUGAUUUCCAAUAUUUUCAACUUUUAUGUGCUGUCAUAUCAAAACACAUGGAUGCCACUUUACAUCUCAAUGAUGAAAAAGAAUACCAUUCUUAUAAAUUAAAUGUUCCUUCUGCAGGUUGCCAAGUGAAAAAUUGGGAAUUAUGAUGUGGAAGUAUAUUCUUUGAGGCGCAGAAUAAAAGAGCUAAAGGAGAAGUUGGAAACUACGAAUGCAAGGGCUCAAUCAUUUCAGAAAGAAGGAAGGAUUUUGCAACAACAAAAGGUUUAUAUUGUAGCAUAGACAUGUAUAUGUUGUUGAUAUGGUACACUUUUCGGCUGCACAUAUACUUUGUUUAUAUUACACAUAGAUGAAAAGUUUGGGCUAUUGUAAUUAUGUAAUGACCAACUAUUUAUAUGGUUCAUUGAUAUAUACAAUUUGUUAAAAUAUAAUUGUUCAAUUAAUGUGUAGUUUAGCACAUUUGUGUACUGUCUUGCUUUACUUAUGUUUGUUAUUGUUGGACUUCAAAACAGGUGCAUGAUAAAUUAUAUUGAUAUUUUUAAUUUUAUAAUUUUUCAUUUGAAAAAAAGAAACCUUGAUGACAUUCAAAGCGUAUCAAGAAUAAACAAAAUCUUGACACAUAAAAAACUGUCAACUAAUCUUAUAUAUUUGACGCUUAAAAGCUGUAAAAAAAAAUGAACUCCUUAUUCUUGACACUGGAAGUAAAAAAUUUCAAGUAAUCUCAUAUACUUGACAGUUAUAUGAUUUUACUUGACGCUUAAAAACUGCCAAGUAAAACCCUCUUGCUCUUGACAUUGGAUUACUUGACGCAUUGAAGUAAACAGAUACUUGACAGUUUUUAAGCGUUAAGUAAAGCCAAUUUUAUAGUAGUGAAAAAAUUUACUUGAUUAUUGAUUGUUUCUCACCAAUUCUUGAAAUUGAAUGUUGCUUGAUGAAAUUGAAUGUUGCUUGAUGAAUUCCUUAUGAAUGUUCUUGGAAAUUAGUUGCAAAAGUUCUUUUUGCAAAAUUAUGAAUGAACUUGUAAUUUUCUUUGAAGAACAAGUUAAGGCUUUAGUUAAUAUUGCAAGAAUUAAACUAAUUAACUCCCUAUGAAAAUAAUCUCCUUUCUUGAACUUUGAUCAAAAUUCUUCCAAGAUUAAGCAAGUUGAUAAUGUGAAGAAUCUUGAAUCAAAGAACUCUUAAUUAAGCACGAUUCAAUUUUUAAUCAUCUUUGAUUCAAUGAUAAGAAUAGAUUAAUAGUCUAAGCUCAUUCCUCAAUUUUCUUAUUGAAUUUUAAUCUCUCAUUCCUUUUUCUUGAGAAUUCAGUUGCAAUUUAAAUUUUCCCUUUUCAUUCUUGGUUACAUUUGAUUUCUCUAAUCUCUUUUCAAUGGUUUUCUUUUCUUUUUGUUACUAAUCUCAAUUGUUUGAAGCGUUUAUUCAAGAAAAUAUAUUAGUCUACACUCUCUUAGGUUUGACACCCAUGCUUUCACCUAUCAACGGUAAGAGUAAAAGGUAAUCUACAUGCGAAACUAGGUAAGUACCCUUUUAUAAUAAUUUUCAUUUUCGAACAUACUUGUGUUUAUUACUGACCUUGCUUACAUACAUUGCAUAAUUCUUUAACUUUUGCAUAUCAAAUUGACUCUUGUCAAAAUGGCAUGGUUGUCGGGCAGUGGCACGACAUAGGAUAUUUCUUGAAUCUUUACUUACAUUUUUCUUCGUUCGUAAUCUUUAGAAAAGCAUAUUACAUUUUUUUUUAGUCUUUCUUUGUUAUAUAUAGAAUAAAACAAAUAGUUAGCAUGCGAUUUUUUUUCUUUGCUUUCUUUAAUUCAUCUAGACUAAGGAAAGAAAAGAAAAGGCAAGCUAGUUCAUUACAGAACCAUUUGAACAUCCUAAAAUUUCAAGUGAAUUUUUUAACUAAACUUUUUACUUCUUUUGUGAAGGAGGAGGUUCCUAAAGAUGUGUCUUGUGGAAUAUGUGGCUUUCGAGGCCACCAAAAUGAUCAAUGCCUAAUAUUUAAAGAGUUAAAUGCCUACAACUGUCGAUACACUUCUUUACCCUCAUUAUCACAAGGUACGUACUUAAAAGAAUUAAUCUCAGGGUUAGCUUAUAGCUUAAAUAAUUUUAAAACUGAUUUUGAGAAGAAUUUAGCUAAAUUGAGUGACUAUACUGUUAGUUCAAUUGGAAGCAUGAGAAAUGACUUAGCUAAGUUGAGUGAACAAACUGUUAAUCCAAUUAGAUCCGUGAAUAAUGAUAUAGAAAUCAUGAAAGCAUCCAUCUCUGAGAUAGAAAAUAAGCUUUAUCAAUCAACAACACACAUUCUUGAAACGGAAGGAAAUGACGAACUUCUUGUCCAUCCAUCUCUGAGAUAGCAUGUGUGAAUGAUAUUACUUUAGGAAGUGGAAUAAUUUUCAAUGAUAAUGAUGAUCCAAAGUCUUAUAGUGAUCAUGUUUCCUUGUGUGCACUUGAUACUUUAGAACUAUUGAGACAUUUGAGCAUGAUAAAUUCAAUGAACUUAUAGAACAAGAAACUCUAGAAUAUUUUGAUAAUAAAUUUGCUAAAGAGAAACCUAGUGAUAAUGAUCUUUCAAUCUUCCUUGACUUUGUUACUAGUAUAAAUGAUGAGCAUGUUUUGGUUGACAAUGUUGCAACACAUGAACAACAUGCUUUAGGUAAUUAUCUUGCAUCUGGUAAAGAAUAUGAUUUAGGGAGAGACAUUAAGGAUGAUGAUGAACAUAUUUUGAAAACCAUAGGCAUUGAUAAUGAACCUGACACAAGCCAUCCACGUAGAAAACUUUGAAAAAGAGAAUGAUUCUUGUGAGGUUUAUUUUGUAUAAAGAAUGUGAGAAUUCUAAUUCCAAUGAACUCACUUUACCUUUGUAGAAAAAUGUGAUAGAACUUAAGGUUCUUCCUUCCUUCUCACCUCAAAUAUGUGUUAUUAGAAGAAACGAACACAUAUCCUGUCAUAGUUUUGAAGGAGCUUACCGAAGAAUAAGAAGAAAGGUUUGCUUGCAACCUUGAAAAGACGUAGGCAAGCCACACGUGUGAGGUUCAAUUUGCUCGUUCUUUUUCCUUUGAACUUUAAUUUAGGUGAUUUUUGUGUUGUUGUGCUCGUAUCAGAGUCUACUUUCAUAUUCUACACAAAAAUAUCAAAAUAAUGAACAUAUGCAUGAUAAGGAUUUAGAAUAAGCUAUCUUUAAUCAGGUCAAUAUUUGCCCUAAUAUAUAGUCAACACCAUCGUUUAGAUUUGAAGCCUUUUUUCCAUCUUUAAAAAAACUGCACAGUCAUUUUAUACACGAUCGUCUAUCAUUUCCUCCACGAUUAUGUAUUUUGGUCGUUCAGAAGAAGAAUUACGUGCGUGCAUAUAACCAAUUAAUCUCAUGAUAACUGGACAUUUUUGGUAUUUUCAAUUCUAGGCCUGUGGGCUUUUUUCGUUUCCAAAAUUGUUUGUACAGUGUAAAUAUUUUGUCAGUUUGUUAUAUUUUUGCAAAAACCCAUUAAUUAAUUGUUUGAUUAUUUUUUAUUAAAUAUGAUUUAAUCAAAUUAUUUAUUUAUUGAUUUAUUGAAUUUAAUUUAAUACAAUUUAAUUAAAAGUUAAAUAAAUUAAAAUCCACAUUAAUUGAUUUCUUGAUAUAAUGGUUAUAUAAUAGAUAUUUGAUGAUUGUUAUAAUAUUGAAUAUUUGUUUUAUUAGUGUUUUAAAAUGAAUUAGACAUUUAAAAUCUAUAACAACGAUAAAUUGCAUGCUCACCUAGGUUAAAAUCGUGGGUGAGGGAUUAUGUGACAACACAUCCCACGGUCUGUUCCAUUAGGUUGCAUAGUUAGUUUCAUGUAAUGUGUCUGCUUGUAUGUGGUGGAGCGACGCUCCCUUGUGAGGGUUGUAUUAUAGGAUUUGGAACACAGUGAAUUCUAUAUAUGGAUAGGGUCUCUUUAAUCGAUUUUCAUAUUGACUUUUUACUUUUUACUUUUGAGAGUAUAACAAUGCUUAUCUCUGAGAUUUGAAAAUGGUGGGUUACAAUUACAAGAAUUUUUAAGGUGUUAGUCUAUUCUUAACUGAAGUAGUGAUAACUAAGUGCAAUAGAAAUAUGAGAUAUUCAAGAGAUAACAUAUGAUCGAGAUUGUCUUGGUUCAAAGGAGGAAUAAUCGACUACCCUUUGGAGGAUGUUAUUCUAAACCUUUGAAAUAUCGUUGCAAAAUAGUAUAAUGAUGGAUACAUUUUUUAAGUUUGCUAAACAAUAUUAGUUCUUAAAAGGUUUUACAUAGUUUUUUCACUAAGUAGAAUACGUUUUACUUUUGGGGAAUUUUUACAAAUAGCAAAAUAUGUUAAAAAUUUUACAAGCUAUAGAAAAUUUUUGAAUUCUAUCAAUGAUAGUUACUGAUAGACUCCUAUCACUAUUGGCUAUCAAUGUCUAUUAUUGAUAGAAUCUGAAAAUUUUUGCUAGAUGUUGGAAAUAUUUGGUCAAAUUUGCUAUUUUUGACAAUUUCCCUUUAUGUUUCAGCAUAAAUAGCUCAAUAGUACAACUCUUAGCUACUAAGAAGCUUAACGGCUACAAAUAUGUGACAUGAAAAUUUAACUUAAAUUCAACACUAGUUGUCAAAUGCUAACCGAAAUGUUCGAGAAGUAUAUGAUCGAUGGGUUAAGGCCAAUCCAAAGGUCCGUGUCUAUAUGCUUGUCAGUACGUCUGAUGUUUUGGCAAAGAAACAUGAAUCCUUAGCCACGACUAAAGAGAUUAUGGAUUCAUUGAGGGAGAGGUUUCGUCAACCUUCAGGGUCCCUCAAACACGAAUCAAUUAAGCACAUUUACACCGAGCAAAUGAAGGAAAAUACCUCUUUUAGCGAACAUGUCCUCGACAUGAUGAUACACUUCAAUAAUGAUGAAGUAAAUGGAUAUCCCAUCGAUGAAGCAAAUAUAAAGAGCUUUAUUUUACAAUCUCUUUCGAAGAGUAUUGUACUGUAUUAGAUUAACGGGUCUCUGAAUAAGAUAAAGUUCACUAUAGCCACCCUACCUAAUGAGCUCCAGCGAUUUCAGAAUCUUACCAUGGGUAAAGUGAAGGAAGUAGAAGCAAAUGUUGCUAGAGCUGAUAAAGUGUUUAUGAAAGGAUCGUCCUCUAAAACUAAAGUUGGGCCUUCACUAAUGAAGAUUAAGGGAAAGGGGAAGACUUCCAAGAAUAGUAAGAGAAAGAAUAUUGCGAAAGGUAAAUGUUACCACAGCAACAACAAUAGGCAUUGGUUGAGAAAUUACCCGUAGUACCUUGUUGAGAAGAAAGCUGAGAAGAUAGCAUAAGGUAAGUAUGAUUUACUGACUGUUGAAACGUGCUUAGUGGAAUAUGUUACUUUAACCUACUAAUCAUAUUCACUCCAUUUCAGAGAAUUAUUUAUUGAAAAGCAUGUAAAAGACAUGACCAUUCCUAAAGUUUGGAACAUCAGAGAUUAUCUUAGCAGAAGCAGUGGGAGAUCUAAAGUUGUUUCGAUAGAUAUAUCUACUUAAAUAUGUUUUGUAUGCUUAUGGAAAAAUAGAGGAAUUUAAUAUCUAUCAAUUGUUUCAUAAUUAAUCUAUAUAAUAUAUUUUGAAUUCAAUAAAGUGUUUAUUUUUCUAAAAACUGUAUCCAAAUUUGUUCAACUAUAAUUAUAAACAACUUAUAUAAGUUAAGACCAAUUGAGGCAAAACUUCUUUUUAAUACUGAAAUGUUUAACAUAAAAAAAAAAAAAAAGAAAAAAAAGAUUUCUUCUAAAUGUCUAUAUAUGGUACUUAGAUUUGGUCUCGUAAAUCUCAAUGUGAUUGGUAGAUUGGAUAAGAGCAACUUCUAAACUAGUUAGAAAAUAACUCUUUACCUUUAUGUGAGUCAUGUGACCAUCUCGCACAAUUUCUCGUCCAGACUACAUAACCCGUCUAAGAAAAGUUAUAACCUAAAAUUCAUAACUCUUUUUAUCAAACUUCCUCCUAUAAAGUUUCUUUAAAAUAUGUUAACUUUCUUACCUCAAAAUUUCAGAGCAAAACGCCAAAUGAUGCGUUUUGUAGCCCUCUGUGAGCACACUUUACUCAGAUUCACUCGCGAAUUAACCUUCACGCCUUCUCAUAUCCAAAACGCUAAUUUUCUCAUAUCCAAAAUGCCCAGCAGUAUUCCAAAAUGAACUAGACUCAAUUUUUGAGCUUUUAAGACUAAUUUGAGUGAAAAUGUCCAAGUGAGUUGUGAGAAACUCCUUUAUGAAGUUAGCUAAAACGCCCAAGACCCUUUCUAACCUCUAUAGUUAUUUCGCCAAGACAACCCAAAAUGCUUGAACACUUCUUUAAACGCCUAAGAAGGUUCUCCAUUUUCUUUUUAUUGCCUAUGACACUCAUUUAGAGGUUAUAUCGCCUUCCUUGUUGCCCACCUUAACCUCUAAAUGUCCAAAACCAUACAUUUUCUACACUAGCCAAAAUCUCUCAAAUUUUAUCUUCUCUUAAACCCUAACUUUCAUCUUCCCAAAUAUUUUUACUUCCUUUUCCCCAUAAAUUUUAUUUCUCUUGUCUUUGACUAAGCUUAAUAAAUUCCUAAGGUUUAAGAAUUUUUGGGUUUCAUAACUUCCUGCGGCAUUGACUUGCAAUAAAGCCAUUGAUUGAAGGAGUUUGUUCAUCUCAGUGACUUGUCCCUGUAAUGCCACCAUUGCAUUCUUGUCUACUCCAUCUUCUAUCCUUCCUCUAUCUAUUUUAUUUCCCUUGCUAUCAAUUUGUGAUCCAAAGUCAUCAUCUCGCCAUUCCUGACAAUUGUUGGCUAUAACAUCCAAGUUUGUUUUUAUUUGAUUGUAGGAUGAUCUGAGCAUCCCGCCUAUAAAAACAAGGUCAACAGAUUGUUGUGUAUCCCUGCUUGUUAGUUUCGACAUAACAAUUUCGUGUGUAUAGCACAAAUGCAAUAUGUCACUAAGUAGAGUCAUUGCAAGUGAUGUGCUCGCCACAUCUUUUUGUGAUGUGCGCUUAAUUCUAUGUAAGAAUUCAAUGGUCAUGAUCAUAGCAUGCAAAAGGCUCACUAUGUACCUCUUCAUCGUGUAAUACUUAAGUCCUUGUUGAGUACGAGUUUUCCUACUGCGUGUCCAAGUGCAAGAGAAACAGUAGGUUUACCUGGAUGAUACUGGAUCAAACACUGGGAAUUGUUUAUAGACAUUUUCUAGGGAAUUAUUCAUUAGUUAGAAGACAUAAGAAUUAAUUAAUUAAAGUAUAAAAGAACGAGAACCAGGAUUAAAACUACUUAUGUACAGCUAGAGAAUCUGUAAAGAUAAUAAAUGGAUGCGAGGUGGAAUUGUAUGCAGACUAACUUGUAUGCGAAAAAGAGUGAAUAAAGGUCUACGCACCAUGAACCGAUUAAGCAAUGCGAGAGAUUUGAUGCGAUAUAACUUACUCAACCAACUUAUAAUUAAGGUGUGCUCCUCUUUAGAGUCAUUAAAUGUCACACAUAGUCUCAUUUCAAGAUCUACACCAUUAAGUUUGAUCAAGCAAGAUAUAUCUAGAAGAAUUAACUUAUAAAUCUUAUACACUUUACCAUUAAGAACAAAAUCUCUCAACGCCUAAUAUUCACACUUGUUCACCUUUUAUGACACAGUGGUGGAAGUUAUCUCUCAAAGGUGGAGUUGGUCGCCAAACUUUUCCUUGCAUGCAUUAGCCUCAUUAUUGCCACUUGCCCUCUCGAGUGGUUGGCAAUUGGCUAUGGCCAUACGAUGAGCCUAGCUUAACUAAUGCGAUAAGGAUUAUAAGCUAGGCUUCUUAUCAAGAACUAUCAGUAACUUAAACUACUAAUAAUACUUUGACGAAUGAAAAGUCAGAAAUGAUGGAUUGAAAAUGUAUAAACAUGUAAUAUAUAUAUAUAAAGAAUGUAGGCCUUAGCCCAUUGAACCAACAUAUAUUACAAAGAAGUACAAAAAUGAAGAGGAAGGAGAAUAAACGAUAUUUCAAGUUAGAAGACAACAGGAAUAUGGAUUCUUCCCUUCUCAGGAGUCAAGCUCUCGCUUUUACAACUGAUCGGAGAAGAAAGACGAAAAUUUUUACAGACGGCGGAAAGGUUAUUCCUUUCCGCCACUCUUUAGGGUUUUGGUCAGGCACUGUGCCGGUUCAGGCUUCUUGUUCUAGGUUGAAGGAGAUGACUUUUAUAUAGGCAACAUUUGGGAGGAAAACUUCUAUUCUUCUAAACUUGUCAGCGCCAUUUGCCAAAAAGUAUCUAUUGCACGUCACAUCAGUUUCAGUGCCCACUAUAUGUCUUCUAGUGACCCUUCAUCGUCUGAUAAUGUUAUUCCUCGCCUAGAAACGUUAAUUGCCAGAUGAAUUCCCUAUCACGUAGUCCUAGCACAAGAUGUUUCUUGUGGUUUACUAGUUUCUUUCUUUGUUUCAUUAUCUUGCAUUCAGACAUUAAAAUUGCAUGAAACAGACAUAAUACUUAUGUAAAGUGUAUUUGCAAAUACUUAUGUGUUUACUGUUAUGAUAUAUAUAUAUAUACAUAUGUCCUUUAUUGUAAUUUUACAUAGUCUCUAGGGUUUAGUUUAUUCUCUUUAUAAAUAUGUAACAUUGCUUUGACUCAAGGUGAAUAAGACAUACGUUUCUGAAUUCUAGAUUACAUUUACAACACAAGCUACGCAUUCUGAUCGUCUUUUUACGCGUUUUGACCUCAUUAUUCUAAUAAAAUGAGCUAUAAUAAUGGAUAUUUAUACACAUUAUCAAUCUUUGCUUAACUCGAAAUAAAACUGUUCCAUCAUAACACAUCCAAGGAUGCUGUGGUAUGGGCCUUCCUUGAUCAUUCUCUUCAAUCGCCUUCAUGAGUCUAUCAGAUUCUUAAUAUCUCUCUGCUCAAAGGUCAUCAGAUCCUACCUUCUUCUUGCAUUCUCAAUGGGAGGGAAUAACCUUUUCAUGAAUUUUUCAAUCAGGUUGUCCUAUGUAGUAGCUUCCCGUUCCUCCAAGGAGUUUACCCAUUGUUUAGCUUCAUCGCGUAAUGUGAGUGGGAAUACGCUAAACGCAGUUCGUCUUACAAUAUGCCUGUCAUAUUAAAUGACGCACAUAUAUAGUAAAAGUUUCUUACAAUCUCGUGAGGAUCUUUGCGCGGAUGUCCUCCAAACUACCCAACGUUCUAGAUCAUUUGCAACAUUACUGGUUUGAUUUCGAAUCGUGAGUUUUCUCCAAACUCAGUGUAUGUGAUACCUGAAUUAAAGUUAUAGAGGUUUGGUGAUGCAUAUGAUUUGAUGGGGCAAGAUAAGCGGGAUUUUUAUAUAGGGCUUGUUGGUUGGCAGAGUUAUUGUUUUGAUUGUUCAUGUUUGCUUCUUGUUACCUCUACCUUUGUCUAUGAUUUCUCUGAAAUGUUUGCUUAAUUUUAAGGUCAAUUUGAAAUUUAGGUUGUUCGCUUGCACUCAUAAACUUGUUUGCCAGCUUUUCAGCUAAAGUACGUGAUUCAGCUGUUUGGCUAAAGUACGCGAUUCAGCUUUUAGGCUACAAUACACAAAAUUGAACUUCUACAUAAUUUAGCGCACAAUUUAGUCAAACUAGGAAAAACUUUAAAAUUCCCCCACAACGACACCAAAAUUUGCUUGUUUCUACUCAUGCACUCUAUUUUCUCAAUAUAUGGCUAUGAUUUUUACGACUGAUGGAUGGCGAAAUAGAGUUAUGCGAUAAAAGGUGCAUUUCUAUUCAUGCGUUGCUAACAUAAUAAUUAAACAUUGUCGCGUAAGCUUUCCUCUCUAUUGCCCAAGUGUAAGCAAUGAGAGGUUUUCUAGUAAUUCCAGGGUCGAAAUCAGAGAAUUUAAGCUCAUAAUUUAUGCAAUUGCUUACUAACCUAUGUGGCAUACACUAUACAGUAAAUCAUAUGAACAAUAUAUCAAUUACCCUAACAAUUUACACUAUUGUGCUUGACGGUGCUAACAUAAUAAUUAAACGAUGCAAUAUAAAAUCGGUAUAGACAUGGUGAGGAAGGAAAAUUGAACUGCUAAAUACAACGACUGAUGAUUCACUACCUCAAGGCAAUACAAUUCGACAAAUGGGCCAGAUAAUUCAAAAAUAUAGGCUGAAUAAUUUUGUUUUUGUCGGAACAUUCGUACCUUUUUUAAUGCUAAGAUAAACAACUUUUUGCAGAGUUAAAAUCUUUCCAAACUGAUCGGCUUAACUAAGAAUUGAUGCAAGCAACUUCUUAGUGCAAUGUCAUACUUGCUCGCCUUUCAGGAUGCAAAUACACAAGUUAAGUGAUGCAUAUAUCUAAUCAUAUUCUCAGUAAUGCAUGUAGAGGAUGAGCUUGGCAACAAGAGUUCAGUGAUGCUUUCUUCUCACCACUUGCUUAGUUAAAUAGGGUUAUUAUGUGCUUGGUGAUUACAAUCUAUACUUUUGCUAUUCUUUUGAAUGAAUAAGAUUAAUAUACUCAUGUUUGACUGAGCAAAACUCUUACAGCAUUCAUUAUAACUUUCUUAGCAUUGAAUACCAUUCAUUACUACUUAGCUAAUAAAUCACAUACAUAUAGGCGAGAUAAGAAAUGGAAGAAGAAAAGCAUUGCUUUUAUAAAUAACACUUAAACCUUCUGGCCAUGAAGUUCUACUUACAAAACAACAUAAAAUAAGAAAGAGAAAGUGAAAAUACAACAGGUGAGUUACUCCACAGAGUCUAAUCUCACGUACUAUUUGCUUCGCUUUUUGCCUAUAGAUGAGGGGAACAAUGGAUGAAUGAAUCUCUCUCUCUUUUGUUUUAGCUCUCACCUAAAACUCAAAGUAAGGGAGAAGGAUUGAUGAUAUAAAGAGCUUGCAUUCCGCCCAAAUUGUGCACACUUUGUUUUGGAGUGAGAAACUCUAUUUAUACACCAGGAGUGAUGUUGACAUGCCGGCACGCGACAUUAAGAUCUCCAAAAAUUUAUAGCUAUGUUGUGCAGCCUGUCCUAUUAGUCAUCUUCUGACUUUCCCGCCAAAAAUCUUUUGUUUGCUAUCGGCUUGAUCGCCUAGCAACUACUUCCUUGCCAUAGAAAGGUUGGUUGGGUCUCCUUGCGCUUAAUGAGCUACUCGUCGAGCUUCACCCUUCUUCACUUAGUAUCCUGUGAUAAGAGCACUUAAACAUUUUGCGUUAGGUUUUUCCCAGCAUAAUCAAAUCAACCACUUUUUCUCCCUAUUUUCUUCUAUUUUCAUGCGAUAAGACUUCAUUAUUUAGUUUUAAAAGGCUACUUUCUACUAGUUAUCACUAAGCAAGAAGUAUAAACAAAUGACUUGAAAUGUACACAAACAGAUAUGAAAAAUACAUACCAAAAUUAAACUAAUGAUGUCCUCUCCAAAGAUACAGCCUCUUGAACAAUAUGAAGAACAUUCCUACAACAAUUGAAUAUUAAAACUUCAAAAUCAAUCAACUAUAACGUGCCUGAAAAUGAGAUUUCAAAUAACAAACUAUUAUGUGUAGAUCCAAGAGUUGGAUUUCAAGUCCUAUUGUAUAGAUUUAUGUACAACUAUACACCAUUUAUGUGCUUUCAUUGUGUAUAAAUAACUAACAGGACUUAUUGUUAACCCAAAUAAGGAAGAACACUUGGAAAAUGUAAUGCAAAACACUAAAUACAGUCCAAAAUCCAAACUAACUAAUAAUUUAUAAAAAUAAAGAUAUACAUAUACAGCAAGAGGCCUAUCUUAAUUAAAUAAACUACUAAAGGGAAAGCUUUUUAAAUCCUUCAACCCACAAUGUUUAAUUCUUAGACGCAGUAAUUCAUAAAGAUAAAGGUUAUCAGAGUUCCUUUUAACUAACGAAUAAAACGUGUAACUGCCAAUAAUAAGCAAAACCAACUUAACAUAAAGUCGUUCAGUAAAAUGUAACGACGCUUAUUGAACUGAACAUAAUCGUCUAGAAAUAAGUGUAAGUUCGUAAACAUCUUUUUGUAUCUCGAGGCUUAGAAUCUAUGAUCUGCAAGAUGACAAUGACAAAUGAUCGUUACAAACUUAAUUUGGUAUUUGAUUAACUUAAUUUGGUAUCUGAUUAUGAAGGUAAUAAAAAGGUUGAAAUUUUGAAUAAAAGCGUUGCUAACAUAAUAAUUAAACAUUGUCGCGUAAGCUUUCCAACAUGUAAGACCAAAAUAUAUACUUUACAACAUGAGAAAGAUUAAAUCCAUAAUCUACAAAACUAUAUUGAUAGAGGCCAACAUUUGCUCCAUCCACAAUGGCAUCACAAUGAUUAUGUACAUCUAUGAGUGCAACACGCCCAUGGCCAUAUUUUGUAACCUUAUAUAUGCAAAAGAAAUAUAUAUAUAUACAUAUAUAUAAUGAAAAUUUUAUGAACCUACGCGUGCACACAUUUAAUAAUAAUUACUUGUCUGCAUUUUCCAUUUUGGCAAAUUCACCCACAAGAAUGCUAUAAGUUACCGAGCUCAUUUCUAUGUCUUAUCUUCUUUCACUUUUCUAACAAAAGAUAGUAUGAAUAUGGCUGCACAUCAAUAAAGCUUACUAUUAUCGCAAGACGACACACUUGAAAAAAAACAUUUAUAUUGAAUUAAUAUAGUAAGUAUACUUUUGCAAUGACAUAUCUACCAUCAAAAUAUAUAUUUCAAGCAUAAAAUACUUAAUUGACCUUCUAUACAAAUCAAUCGAACUUUAACCAUAAUCAAAACUGGAAUGGUGACCUUUGUCAGUUGACCUUUGUGUCAAUAAAUGAAGCAAAAAUAUCAAGCUAACAUUAAGAUCAAAUUAGACCUUUAGUACAAUUGUAUAAGCCAAUUUUAAACCUUUCAAGAAACCAAUUCUAUAAGCCAAUCGUCUUCCUUGAGAUAGAGAACAAUUCAAGAAACUAAUUUAGACCUUUAGUACAAUUCUAUAAGUCAAUUUUAAAGUUAUUAAUGUAUCAAUACAAUUGAGAUUCUUACCUUGUCUGUAUGAUGUGGCAUAGUUAUAUUACAUUGUCCAGUAGAUACGUCCCAAAUCUUGAUUUGCUUACCAGCACUUGCAUUAGCAAAUAUGCAAUCAAGAAUUUGAAACAAAAUAACUCCAAGAUGCAAGUGGGUCAACAAUUUUAAGUGAAAUGAUUAAAAUGAAAAAUUCAAGAAAACUAGCAGCUUACAUUUCUAUAGAAUAACAAAGACUAUAUUCAAAUUUCUUAAAGAAACCACAGUGCUUCUAAGUCCACAAAAGAAGAUGUAGUUAUCAGUUGUCAAAUACUUCACAUUUACUUGAUACAAUCUUCAAUAAGGCUAAAAUCAAUAUUUUAUAUAAUAAAAAAUCAAAUAAUAGAAACAUGGACAAAUCCCUUUCCUGAAGGUUCAUGAAGAUCAUUCUCACUAAUCUUGUUCGUUCCCUUUGAAUGAGACGCGAAGCAGCUAAGAUAGUACCCUUCGCAACACCGUAUUUCUUAAGUGGGCUGGAAUUUCGGAAUGGGGCAAUGGGGUUUUUCAAAGUUUCAAACCAUAGACUUUAGAAACGGAUAAUAUUUAUUUUUCAGAAACCAAAAUCAGAUAGUAACAAAAAAAGACUAAUCACCAGGAAAGGUUAUAAAAAACCAAAUCAUAUGCCAUGUCUAAAAAUAUUAUGGUUACUUGGAACGAUUCGCUAACCCUUCAGAAAGAGAAUCAAAUAUCAUUUCAAAUGCAUCCUUUUGAAGAAUAACUCCAAGCUCUUUUUGAAGCUUCCUUCUGAAAUAUACAUAUAGAUUCCUUUCUUAUUCUUUCAAUAGCAAAUAGUUGAGAAAGCAAAAGAAAUGGAAUGAAACAUUGAGAAAUCAUAAUUUAGAACCAACAAAUGGUGUCAUAUUGUCAAAGCAGAUGAGUGAGGUGAAAAAUAAAGACAAUUAAUAAUCAAUAAUGUUACCUAGCAAUCACAAGUAAACAAUCAUUUUCUGUAACAAAAUUCUUUCGAUUGGUGAGUGAAAAGAUAGAAAAACCCAAGGAUCUUACAAAAGACGACUACAAUCAACUUGCCAAUUGAAAAAAUGGGCUUAAUCACAGAGAAAGAGUACAGUGAUGUUUAUGAGAAACUGAACCACACAUAAAAUUAAUUAUUUAUUUUGCAUUAAAACUUACGGAACAACACUUAAAAGGUACCAAACUUUGAUGGAAAUUUCUUCAAAAUCCUCCAAAUCUAUAAUCUUUCCUCCAAAACAUUAUGGGUAACAUUAAUUUAUGUCAAAACCAAAUGGGUAUUCAAGGAAUCUGAGAAAACUCACUGAAAUAUUUGUCAAAAGUCUUACCGAGAACAUGUCAAAAUCACCUCAACUCCACUGGACAACACGAUAACAACCUUUUAAACUCAAAUAUAACAUUUCAAAAUCACGAGUAAUUUAAUUUUGCACCAAACACUUAAUGGAUAUCCAUGACCCAUUCAAGAAAACCAAGAUUCUCACCAAUUCUAUGUCAAAAGAGCCAAAAAUCAAUCUUCUUAUUGACUAGACAACAACUCAAUUCUUCCAAAACUUCAAAUCUAACAACGAAAUGUAAUGGAUAUUGUUAAACACAAGCCUAAACUAUAUAUUAAAAAGUUUCAAGAAACCCAACCAAAAUAUACAAAAAUAAGAAUACAUUACUCAAGAGUGAUCGAAGCGGGUCAGAACUAAUACAAACAACUUCGGUGCGCGCAACGGUGACGUUUGGUGGUAGGCUGCUAGACGGUUGGCGUGGGGAGGGUGGCUUCAGCACCACGAAGAAUAUGAUAAUUUCUUUGUUGUCAUUCACUUAAUUCUUUUCAACUCUCACUUACUCUCCGGGUAAAACAACACAACAAUAGUUUGGGCAAGAACCCAUCACAAAAAUUCAAAGAUUGAUUCCAAAACGAAAAUGAGAAAUAAAUGAAACCCAAAUCAAAUGAAGAAACCCAAUUAAGGAUUCUUGCGGCAGAAGCACGAUGAAGAUUGGUUGCCGUUCGCGAUCUAGGGUCACAAAUUGAGAAGAGAAGAAAACUAGAAACCAACUUGGAGAGAAAGAAAAGAAAAAUUGAUAGGGAAAGAGUAGAGUAAGAAAGAGUUAAGUAAGAAAGAAAAUAGAGAAAGAAAAGAAAAUUUGAUAAGGAAAGAAUAAAGAAAGAGUAAGAAAGUGAGGGAAAAUUUAGAUUUUAAAACCUAAAAAAAAUUAAAAAGAAAUUAAAAAUGGGGGUCAUUAAUGUCAAUUUUUACAAAAUUAAAAAAAAUUAAAAAAAAUAAAAAUGGGUUGAUCAUUAACGUUGGUUUAAAAAUGACAUUAAAUCCUUAUCACUAGUGUCGGUUUAAAACCGACAUUAAUGAUCAGCCUUUUCAAAAACGACAUUAAAGACAAUUUUCAUUCUUUUCACCUGACCCUAAAGUCCAUAUUUCUUGUAGGGUUUAUAAAUGUUAUUUAAUCUACAAAGAGAAGAUUAGACACCUUUUGUCUUGUGGAUUGCUUGUCAUUUUCCUUAAUGAUAUCAUUUCAUCUUAGUGAUAGAGUAUUAUCGGUAAUAUAUGACUUGUCAUGUAAAUGUAUCAUCGACAAAGGUCUAUCAUUCAUUUCCAUUAUAUGUAAAUUUUUCAUUGUUGUACUUCUACCUGUUGAUAAUUGACUUCACAUGUCGAUGUAUGCCGAUAGAAUAAAGGUAGCACUAAUUUGUGGUGUACUUUCAUAAAACGGGUUCCAAACAAUUACUACAUUUUUAAAAAAUAUAUAUUAAAGAAAGGUAAAAUAGAAUCAGGGAUAAGGGACACAAAUAUUAGCAAAGAUGCAGUUAAUUAAUAGCAUAGCAUAGAUGGAAAAAUGAAGAGUAAGACAUAGAUAGAUUAAAGCAUACAACAUCCUUUAUUUUGAUUACUUCCAAAAUAUUUGAUAGAUAUAAAGAUAAAAGCAACAUGUGCAUCAUCAUCUAAAGUAGACAACUAAGCUAUGCAUACACAGGAUAUUCAAUGUUCGUGGGGGAAACAGUAGAAGCUGCCGCAUCUUCAAAUCGUAAGAGUGCCCACGAGUGGUUAACUUUUUUAUGAAGCACAGUAGCCACAUAUACCUUUUCAAAUUUUGGGACAGAUGGAGCUAAUAUAAAUUCAUCUACCUUCACUAAGAGAUGAUAUUUUUCUUCUCCCACAGAAACUGAGCAAACAACGGCAAACCCUACACUGAUGAACUUUCUUUUUAUCCCUUUAUUGUAAUGUGUAUACUCCUCCACUGCAAACCUUCCCAUUGCUUGCAAAUACGAAUUAUACUCGACAUUUGAAAUUUGUUUGCAAUCUUCUUGAUUAUUAGGGACUACCAUUUCAACAAAAUCACUCAUCCUAAUUUUUAAUUGGUUGGGUAGAAAUUAAUUAAGCAAAGCUAUAUGAUUGUUGCUGCCUUUAUUCUAGCGGUAGUUGCACAUUUAUAGAGUUGUAGUG
rnacentral:lncRNA from 1 species